AGUGAACGCUGGCGGUAGGCCUAACACAUGCAAGUCGAACGGCAGCGCAGUAAGAGCUUGCUCUUACGGGUGGCGAGUGGCGGACGGGUGAGGAAUACAUCGGAAUCGACUUUUUCGUGGGGGAUAACGUAGGGAAACUUACGCUAAUACCGCAUACGACCUACGGGUGAAAGCAGGGGAUCUUCGGACCUUGCGCGAUUGAAUGAGCCGAUGUCGGAUUAGCUAGUUGGCGGGGUAAAGGCCCACCAAGGCGACGAUCCGUAGCUGGUCUGAGAGGAUGAUCAGCCACACUGGAACUGAGACACGGUCCAGACUCCUACGGGAGGCAGCAGUGGGGAAUAUUGGACAAUGGGCGCAAGCCUGAUCCAGCCAUACCGCGUGGGUGAAGAAGGCCUUCGGGUUGUAAAGCCCUUUUGUUGGGAAAGAAAAGCAGCAGGUUAAUACCCCGCUGUUCUGACGGUACCCAAAGAAUAAGCACCGGCUAACUUCGUG
rnacentral:rRNA from 1 species